rnacentral:piRNA from 2 species
AAGGGGCUGGAGAGAUGGCUCAGUGU